GCCAACGUGGCGUAGUGGUUUGAAUGUUGGACUUCGACUCUGGAGACCAGGGUUCGAUGCCCAGCUCGGUCA